CCCCCGCCCCCCUACGGGAGGCAGCAGCCUACGGGAGGCAGCAGUGAGGAAUAUUGGACAAUGGAGGCAACUNUGAUCCAGCCAUGCCGCGUGCAGGAAGACUGCCCUAUGGGUUGUAAACCGCUUUUAUAGAGGAAGAAACCUCCCUUCGUGAAGGGAAUUGACGGUACUCUACAAAUAAGGAUCGGCUAACUCCGUGCCAGCAGCCCGCGGUAAUACGGAGGAUCCAAGCGUUAUCCGGAAUCAUUGGGUUUAAAGGGUCCGUAGGCGGACUAAUAAGUCAGUGGUGAAAGUCUGCAGCUCAACUGUAGAAUUGCCAUUGAUACUGAUAGGCUUGAGUCACUAUGAAGUGGUUAGAAUGAGUGGUGUAGCGGUGAAAUGCAUAGAUAUCACUCAGAAUACCGAUUGCGAAGGCAGAUCACUAAUAAUGUACUGACGCUGAUGGACGAAAGCGUAGGUAGCGAACAGGAUUAGAUACCCUGGUAGUCUACGCCGUAAACGAUGGUUACUAGCUGAUUGGUCUAUUGAGACUGAUUGGCUAAG
rnacentral:rRNA from 1 species